CAUGCUCACUACAGACAAGCUCACUGACACACACGCUCACUACAGACAAGCUCACUGACACACGCUCACUACAGACAAGCUCACUGACACACACGCUCACUACAGACAAGCUCACUGAUGCGCACACACUCUCCCUACAGACAAGCCCAUUGACACACACAUGCUCCCUACAGAAGAGCUCACUAACACAGAUUCACUACAGACAAG